rnacentral:rRNA from 1 species
UACGGGGGGAGCAAGCGUUGUUCGGAUUUACUGGGCGUAAAGGGCGCGUAGGCGGCCACCGCAAGUCGACUGUGAAAUCUCCGGGCUUAACCCGGAAAGGUCAGCCGAUACUGCGGGGCUAGAGUGCAGAAGGGGCAACUGGAAUUCUCGGUGUAGCGGUGAAAUGCGUAGAUAUCGAGAGGAACACCAGUGGCGAAGGCGAGUCCCUGGACAACACCUGACACUGAGGCACGAAAGCCGGGGGAGCAAACAGG